UGAGAUUUAACUCUCAAGUAUUUAUUAAAAGUUUGAUUUUAAAAUCAUGUUGAAUUUAAUUAAAAAAGAGUUGAGUAAUUAUUGGAACUAUUGAGUUAAAGAGGUUUAUUGAAUUAUUUCAAAAGCUUUACAAGCAUAAUUAUUAUAUUAGUCUCACUAUGCGGAUUCAUUAAAGACUAUGAACUUUGUAUGACCUAGCCUUUCUCCAAGAAUAGUCUUGAAAUAGUAGGAGACUAGCUUGAGGGGGUGCACAUUUAGAGAGGAGGACACCAGCUAAAAAGCGUUAGCAUAAAAUUUAUAAAGAUCACCUUCUCAUAUAUUCUAGGAAAAUGAGGUGCAGUAGAAUCGCCGGGUCUCUAACAGCAAGGGCGAAAAUUGCUGAAUGUAUGUCUCUUCGCGAUUUGCAGUUUAUAAAAUUGAUAUGAAACUUUGAUUUCUAUUUUGUUGCUUUGAUGUAAUUUAUUAUUGGUGAUUUCGCAACUAGCUGAGAUGAAUUCAUUUUUCUGGGAAGAAGAGUUCUUGAUGUUAGUUUUUUUUUUUUUUUUUUUUCUUUUUUCAAUUGCAGAAUUAUUUCAGAUUUAGUGUUAGAUUCUAAAAUACUCAGCUUCAUAAUUUUGGCUAUAUUGAUUUGCAUUAAUUUUAUUCAAAUAAUACUUUUGUUUUAAUUGAAUUGACAGUUCAUAUAGCACUUGUUACCUCUGUUGUUGUGGUGCCUAGUUCAAGUAAGCUCUGCGUGUAUAUCUAUUUGAUCCUAAAAUGCCCCAUAGUCCAUAAUCUCUCUCUUUUUGAUGCUGGUAAGAUAUUGGAUUGAAGACCUUGUAUUACCGUCGUACAUAUCUUACUUGACUUUCGUGCAUCUCUUUACAAAUUGAGAGAUCCAGAUUACUUGUGAAUAUCUUAUGAAGGUAAUGAUUGAUUGAUUCUCAAUGUUGUCUGAAUUAUGUUGCUACUUUUGGUCAACUCAAGCUAAGUUUCUAUAUAUGAGUAUGACUACUACUUUUGGUCAACUCAAGCUAAGUUUCUAGAUACAAGAUUUGGAUUGCUUAUUUAUAUUUAUUUUCUUAGCAUGUCUGAAUAUGACUACUACUAUUAAUUUCUUAGGAAUAGUCUAUUUGGUUUUCUCUACCCUUAAACAUGGAUGAUGUAUUUAUUAAAUUUUUCUUUUUUACCAUGUCAAUUAUUUUUUUCUUUUUUCUAAGACGACUUACUUUCUAUUGUUAACUGGCUAUAUAUCUUUAUUAUGGAGUAUAAAAAAAAUGGGAGAACAAGAUUGUUUUUGUUGUGCUUAUUCUAGAAAGUUUGUUUGUGCUGCUAGCUUCUGUAACCUUAUAAUAGAGUCACAUUAAUUUGGAAGACCUCUGUACUUGGCUUCUUUUGUCUGUCUCCCAUUAUUAGUGGUUGCGUGAAAUUAUUCAUUACAAUAAUUAUAAUGAAUUACCUUCUUGUUAGUACUUGCUUUGUUUGUAUUGUUUAGAUAUUUGAUUCAUAGACAGUAGAUAAGUCGAGGUUUUUUCAUGUAUACAAAGUAUUAUUAUGUUUUAUUGUGCUUCUAUUUUAUGUCAAUUCUGAAAAUUUAGCUUUUUAUUCUACGUUUGAAGCACGAUUAUGAAGAGUUUAGACUUGUUUGAUAUCCUCUUUUUGAUAAAUUGUUUUUAUUUUGUUUAAUUGUUUUUGAUUCCGUAUGUAUUAUGAUUUUUUAGGUAAAAGUCAACAUUCUUUGAUCUUUCUCUUUUGUAAAUGGUAUCUCUGGCUCAGGUGGCCUCUCACACUAUGGUCUAUGAUCUUGACAUGGAUAUGUGGCCAAGCAUUCAUCAUCAAAAGAAAUACCUUUGACUAGCUUAAGGUGUAGUCAUUGGCUGUACCACACUACAAGAUACAUAAUGAUGGGUGUUCUCUACAAUUAUUCUUGAGUUAUAAUUGUCACUACUCUGUGGGUUGCCACUGCUUGAGGUUUGUUUAUCGGUCCCACAAGAAUAUGAAGUGACUUAACAGGGGAAGGAUUCGUUACAUACACUGAGGCAAUUGAAAUGCUGACUUGGGUUCUUCACAGGUUUAUUAAAAACUUUGUUAACUCAAACUUGGAUAUGAGUGUCUGGCCCUACUGAAGUUUCAGGCCACACUAAACCACUAGUUCCUGCCAAUGAUCCAGAAACAUCAAAGGGUGUGUUGUGACUUCAAGGCCAACAAUGAUUGGUCACAAUGUGAGUUUUGCUUUAUGCCCCCUUGCAAGCAGACUAAGGAGCAGCUAAAUUAGAGAUUGAUAGAAGUUUUUUGUGAUGAAAUUAGCAGAUUUGUUCCACUACAACUAGUUCCGAAUGAAGUAUAAGUUGGAAUCAUAUCUUUUGUAAUAGAGAACUCAUUACUAUGAGAUAUUAUACAUGUACUAUAAUAUUUAUAUUAUGCAAUAAAAAAAAUUG